rnacentral:rRNA from 1 species
GCCUACGGGAGGCAGCAGUGGGGAAUUUUCCGCAAUGGGCGCAAGCCUGACGGAGCAAGACCGCGUGCGGGAGGACGGCUCUUGGGUUGUAAACCGCUUUUAUCAGGGAAGAAGAUCUGACGGUACCCUGAAUGAAUCAGGACU